GGGUCAGUAGGUUGGUCGUGCCACCGGUACGUACUGGUCUCACUGAUUCCUCCUUCUUGAAGAACCGUAAUGCCAUUAAUUUGGUGUUGCGGGGAAACAGGACUGUUACUUUGAAAAAAUUAGAGUGCUUAAAGCAAGCUAACGCUUGAAUACAUUAGCAUGGAAUAAUGAAAUAGGACGAUCGAUCCUAUUUUGUUGGUUUCUGGGAUUGACGUA
rnacentral:rRNA from 1 species